rnacentral:pre_miRNA from 1 species
UUUGGUUUUUGCAAUGGAUGAGUGUUAGUUUGGUGCAUAUUCAAUUAAGAUGAAAAUUAUGACUAGAUUUACACUCAUCCAUGGCAUAUACCG